UGGGGAAUCUUGGACAAUGGGCGAAAGCCUGAUCCAGCCAUGCCGCGUGUGUGAAGAAGGUCUUCGGAUUGUAAAGCACUUUAAGUUGGGAGGAAGGGCCAUUACCUAAUACGUGAUGGUUUUGACGUUACCGACAGAAUAAGCACCGGCUAACUCUGUGCCAGCAGCCGCGGUAAUACAGAGGGUGCAAGCGUUAAUCGGAAUUACUGGGCGUAAAGCGCGCGUAGGUGGUUUGUUAAGUUGGAUGUGAAAUCCCCGGGCUCAACCUGGGAACUGCAUUCAAAACUGACUGACUAGAGUAUGGUAGAGGGUGGUGGAAUUUCCUGUGUAGCGGUGAAAUGCGUAGAUAUAGGAAGGAACACCAGUGGCGAAGGCGACCACCUGGACUGAUACUGACACUGAGGUGCGAAAGCGUGGGGAGCAAACAGGAUUAGAUACCCUUGUAGUCCCUGAGCGGGCUGGCAAGGCGCAU
rnacentral:rRNA from 1 species